CGGGACGUAGCUCAGCUUGGUAGAGCACUUGGUUUGGGACCAAGGGGUCGCAGGUUCGAAUCCUGUCUUCCCGACCA
rnacentral:tRNA from 5 species